rnacentral:rRNA from 1 species
GAUCAUGGCUCAGAUUGAACGCUGGCGGCAUGCCUUACACAUGCAAGUCGAACGGCAGCACGGGUGCUUGCACCUGGUGGCGAGUGGCGAACGGGUGAGUAAUACAUCGGAACGUACCUUAUCGUGGGGGAUAACGCAGCGAAAGCUGUGCUAAUACCGCAUACGCCCUGAGGGGGAAAGCGGGGGAUCGAAAGACCUCGCGCGAUUAGAGCGGCCGAUGCCUGAUUAGCUUGUUGGUGGGGUAAAAGCCCACCAAGGCGACGAUCAGUAGCUGGUCUGAGAGGACGAUCAGCCACACUGGGACUGAGACACGGCCCAGACUCCUACGGGAGGCAGCAGUGGGGAAUUUUGGACAAUGGGGGAAACCCUGAUCCAGCAAUGCCGCGUGAGUGAAGAAGGCCUUCGGGUUGUAAAGCUCUUUUGUCAGGGAAGAAACACCGGCUCUAACACAGUCCGGGAAUGACGGUACC